GAACUACUGAGGAGUCCCACAAUAGGUCGAAACGGCCGUCCAGUGC
rnacentral:hammerhead_ribozyme from 1 species